rnacentral:lncRNA from 1 species
UUAGCUUUUAGUCGAAGGUUGAGGAUUUUGAUAGAUUCACUCAAACACGUAGCCGUGACACGAUGUGUGCGUAGCGGUGUUUGGGGAAUCGCUCGAGCCACCGACAAAGAACCUUGGGAUUGAUGACCCUUGGUUUCUAAGUCUGAAGGCUCGGGGACCUGAGCUUAUCGAGUUUAGAUGCAUUAGCGAACCCCAGUCUCAUGCAUCCAUAUUAGAAUUGCCUAGGGUAGAGUCGGCCUUAUCCUGAGCUAAGCACACUAUUCACGAGGGGAGGGGUCCAACCCCUUUCUCCCUUUUAUUGCUUUAUUUCUUUGUAAUGAUUUCGUUGCUACAAUGUGUUAUGUGUAUUUAUCUGGCUGAACUAACUUUUCUUGGUUUUAUGUCCCCAUUGCAUUCACAAACCCUAUCAAAUAAGAGGUCUGGCAUGACCUUCUUUUAGAACCUACCCUCGUAGAUAGAUUAUUGCACGUUUAAAGAUUUUGGUAUAUUGCAUUCAUAGAUUUUGGUAAUUGCAUAGCAUUUUAGGCCUACCCUGGCAAAUAAAGGGUUCCUUAGGUCACGUUUCAUUUCGAAUUGCACAAUUCAUCGCUUUAAUAACUGGCAUCAUGCAUAAACCCUAGAAAGGGAAUGCCACUUAGGGGAUCCCGUGUUAGGAAUAAGCCACCUUGUGUCUCGGAUACUUAAUCCAACGAGACUUGCACGUUUACAUUUUGUACCAUCCAAAGGGGUAGUGCACAAGGUAAGGUAGGAUCCGAUCAUUUUCAUAGAGUAAUCUUUGGGAAUAUGAGCAUCUAAUAAUCACUUUUUGGC